AAUAUAACAGCAAUUGUGUUUAAAUACAGAAACAUCUUCAAACUGCUGAUGGUAUGAAUGUGGUUACAUUGCCGCAGACCUUGCACAGGGAUUGCUGAAUUUAGUUGCCUCAUAAAGCAUUAAAUGAGCAAUGAACUACAAAUUUAAAGCAGGGAUUUAAUUUUGUUUUUGUUUCUUUCCAGUCUGUUUCAGAAUGUUUCAGAAUUCUGGGCUGGCGCUGCUUACUGUGAAAUAUUGAGUGUAGUUUUACCUCUUGAAAAAGGCAGCUCGUUUCCUUUGAAACCUUAAGGAAAUCAGGCAUACAAAGGCAUAUUUUCCCUCGCACACUCAUUUAGAUGAGAAUUGGAACUGUUCCCAACCCAAUGCUCAUCUUUUCUUGAACAGAAUCAAGAGGUGCCAGGAAUACUCAUCGAGUCACUGGUUUACAGCGGCAGAGACAUGUGUUCGAUCUUGACUACGGGUAUUGUCUAGAUGCUGUCUGACCCGCUGAGUUGCUCCAGCAUUUUGUGUCUAUCUUCGAGGAUAACAAGCUGCCAAGUUGAACAAAUGGGCCUACAGUUUGGGUGGAAGUAUAUAGUGGAACUAUCAGUUCCCAUUCAAUGAAACCAGGCAGUAACAUCGGUGCAUUCAAAGGUGGUAAUCCAGACUUUGCUGUCAGUGACCCCUGACCUCUUCAUAAGGUGUAAUUCAGGUUCUAGAGAUAUGCUACGGCAUACAACGGGGCAGCACGAUUGCGCAGCGGUAGAGUCGCUGCCUUACAACCCAGAGACCCGGUUCGAUCCUGACUACGGGUACCGUCUGUACAGAGUUUGGACCAC